AAAAAAAAGUGGCAAAUGCAGUUAAUAUAUUUCUCACUGGUACUUGUUUUCUCAAGCUGAUUAGGAAGCCUUUGUUACUAAUUAACUUCAAAUAUUAUUCUAAAACAUCAUCCUCAUCAUCAAUUCACUACAUAUUAUGAAAGCAACAAAAAUUCUCGAAAGCAAAGAAAACAGACACACGUUUUAUUAUUGGUGAACUAGUACAAAUGACUGAGAUAGAAAUAAAUUAUCUGAGUUAAAGAUAAAGUCACCAAUAAUAAUAUUAUUAAAGGGAUAGCUAGGUAGGAGGAAGCAUAAGCAGAAAAUUAAAGGAGGAGUGUGGGUAGUAAGAUUUGUUAUGUUUUGAAUGAACAUUCAUCGUAACUUACGUA
rnacentral:lncRNA from 1 species